rnacentral:rRNA from 1 species
UACGUAGGGGGCAAGCGUUGUCCGGAAUCAUUGGGCGUAAAGCGCGCGUAGGCGGCCCGGUAAGUCCGCUGUGAAAGUCAAAGGCUCAACCUUUGAAAGCCGGUGGAUACUGCCGGGCUAGAGUCCGGAAGAGGCGAGUGGAAUUCCUGGUGUAGCGGUGGAAUGCGCAGAUAUCAGGAGGAACACCAAUGGCGAAGGCAGCAUACUGGCCGGCAUCUGACGCUGAGGCGCGAAAGCGUGGGUAGCAAACAGG